rnacentral:rRNA from 1 species
UACAGAGGUCUCAAGCUUUGUUCGGAUUCAUUGGGCGUAAAGGGUGUGUAGGUGGCGCCGUAAGUCGGGUGUGAAAUUUCGGAGCUUAACUCCGAAACUGCAUUCGAUACUGCGGUGCUUGAGGACUGGAGAGGAGACUGGAAUUCAUGGUGUAGCAGUGAAAUGCGUAGAGAUCAGGAAGAACACCGGUGGCGAAAGCGCUCUGCUAGGCCGCAACUGACACUGAGGGACGAAAGCUAGGGGAGCGAAUGGG